rnacentral:lncRNA from 1 species
GAUCGUUUUGAAAACUGAAUGGGAACCGGGGCAUCUCUUUGUCUGCAACCUUAUCAGCUGUCUCCUCUGUAAGCUCCUCAAUUAGUGAGCUACUGCAGAGAAGUGAGAAAAGGACCAUCCGUGGAAUGGCAUUCCUGAUAAAGAGCAGCAUUUUGUUGGUCUCCUCCACUUCCAGCGAUUGAUGAAACUUAUCUUGAAUUUGCUUCAGUCCACUUUAAAGCUUGUGGUGGUGACUGCUGAAAUACUUUGUAAUCCCUACCUGCUUAUUCUUAGAUUAUGAUGGAAAAUGUGCUGACCAGCCUUUGCUUUCGUUUUGUCAACUACAACCAAAAGGAGAUACUGGAAUACUUGUUCAAGCUGUUCUAAGGCCUCCUUGAACUGUAGAUGAGAAGUGUGUGACUAGUCUCAUUCACACCAGCUGAGGACUGAGAGCUCCCCAGGAAUUUUUCUUAAAAUAAACCAAAAGCCAACAACACUGUCUUCAAUGGAGAGAUGCGUUGUAGAGAAAACGGAUAUUCAGUGAUAGAAAAUGAAUCAGAAGAACGAACUUCAGAAAGGGUGGGAAGGACGGGAGAGAAAAAUGAAGUGAACUUUAAGGGGACUAAACAGAUGCCCUCCGCAAACAGCAAUGUGUUACUUACGGAUUUAGAAAGGUUUGUUCUGUAUCCUAAUAAUUACUCCAUGAUGGCAUUACAAAACUGAAUGGUGUUCCAGCAGCCAUUUUUACUGACUCUACAGCUUUGCCUUCCUGAGCACCUGAGGUUAUUUCUAGGCUGAUGUUCAGCUCAGCAAGAAAUUCCUGGGGAACAAACCAAAGAGCAAGUCCCUCUCUUUAUCAUGCUGUGUAUCCCAUACCAUUCACCUUAGCCACAGGGCUGUGUUACCUAGGGGAGAAAAGCACUGGGGACAGAUACACUCAGUUUGAGUCCGACAGCCUACACUGUUGAAAUGGGCUUAACAACAAUGCUUAAAUUACUUGCCUGUUGCAAUUUAAAAUAGAUGCAUUUAGAUUAACAAUUGUUUGUGCACUAAAUAUGCUUUUUUUUGUCUUUCACCUGUGUGUGGAUUUGAAAUGCAAAACUCUAGAUGAUUAUGCUAAUUUGGUCUUAUUUAUUUGAAGUAGUGUGUGCAUAUCUGAUGUUUACCUCGGAUUUUAUGUAUAAUGUACAUGCACGUGUUUCUCCCAGUUGGUAGAGAGAAAGGAUGAAAGAGAUACUGGUCUCAGUAGCAUGGUUGAUAACUGCUUUGAUUGGGAACGUUGAUGAGAUAAUAAUUACUUUUGGAUUUCUUGAAAGCUUGUGGUGGAGACUGUUUGAAAAUGGUUAAACAGAAAUGUUACUGUACUGGGCAACAUUGUCUUUUAGCCAGGCUUGAUGUGAAGAGAAACAACUUCUUUGCUGCUGUGGUGCUUUGAACUAUAGGAACUUAUAUCACAGGCAUGAGUUUACUUUUCCUUUUGUUAGACUGAGGGCUUUAGAAAAGUGCAGAGCAGAGAACACAGACAUUUUUUUUCCCCUGUAACAACUUAAGGUUUAGAGAGCUGCUGCCAACGCAGAAGGAAAUACCAUUAGAUAGAUACAAGAAAAGCCAAUAUUCCACGUUAUUCGUGCAGACAACCAACAGUUGAAACUUGCACGAACUGCUUCCACUUAAAUGCUGUCACUCACACUGGUUAUAAAAAGCCCAGAGCACUUAGGGACUG